rnacentral:lncRNA from 1 species
GACAAACCAUCCACUGAGUACUAUCUAGGAGGAUUGGGACUGGCAGUGGAGCAUAACAACCACCAAAAGGAGAUUCUUGACCCGCCGCAAUAGCAUCUUCAUGACAUCUUUGGAAAUAACGAAGCAUUGCUCUCUCCCACGUGCUCAUUUUCUUCGGCUUAUCAUGAGGGCCAACUAUGGUUUUCCCCUUACCGCGAGAGGAAUGAUGAUCGCCCCCACCAUCACCA